CGUUCCCAGGCCUUGUACACACCGCCCGUCACAUCAUGAAAGCCGCUUGUACCCGAAGUCGCCCUCAAAAGGCGCCGAAGGUAUGGGUGGUGAUUGGGAUG
rnacentral:rRNA from 1 species